UCCUUCGUGGUGUAGUGGUCAGCACGCUCGACGUGUAACCGAGAGGUCCGUGGUUCGAUUCCUGGCGAAGGCG
rnacentral:tRNA from 1 species